GCAUAUUGUGCUCCAUCCGCCAUGGCGGCGCGGGAAUCGAUUAUUAGAUACCCUGGUAGUCCACGCCGUAAACGGUGGGUGCUAGUUGUGGGCCACAUUCCACGUGGUCCGUGACGAAGUUAACACAUUAAGCACCCCGCCUGGGGAGUACGGUCGCAAGACUAAAACUCAAAGGAAUUGACGGGGGCCCGCACAAGCGGCGGAGCAUGCGGAUUAAUUCGAUGCAACGCGAAGAACCUUACCAAGGCUUGACAUAUAGAGGAAACGUGCAGAAAUGUACGCCCCGCAAGGUCUCUAUACAGGUGGUGCAUGGUUGUCGUCAGCUCGUGUCGUGAGAUGUUGGGUUAAGUCCCGCAACGAGCGCAACCCUCGUCCUAUGUUGCCAGCACGUAAUGGUGGGAACUCAUGGGAGACUGCCGGGGUCAACUCGGAGGAAGGUGGGGAUGACGUCAAAUCAUCAUGCCCCUUAUGUCUUGGGCUUCA
rnacentral:rRNA from 1 species